UACAUGAAGCUGGAAUCGCUAGUAAUCGCGGAUCAGAAUGCCGCGGUGAAUACGUUCCCGGGUCUUGUACACACCGCCCGUCACACCAUGGGAGUCGGAAAUGCCCGAAGUCUGUGACCUAACCGUAAGGAAGGAGCAGCCGAAGGCAGGUCGGAUGACUGGGGUGAAGUCGUAACAAGGUACC
rnacentral:rRNA from 1 species